rnacentral:rRNA from 1 species
CCUACGGGAGGCAGCAGUGGGGAAUAUUGCACAAUGGGGGAAACCCUGAUGCAGCGACGCCGCGUGAGUGAAGAAGUAAUUCGUUAUGUAAAGCUCUAUCAGCAGGGAAGAAAAUGACGGUACCUGAGUAAGAAGCCCCGGCUAACUACGUGCCAGCAGCCGCGGUAAUACGUAGGGGGCAAGCGUUAUCCGGAUUUACUGGGUGUAAAGGGAGCGUACACGGCAGUGCAAGUCUGGAGUGAAAGGCUGGGGCUCAACACCCGGACUGCUCUGGAAACUGUACGGCUGGAGUGCAGGAGAGGUAAGUGGAAUUCCUAGUGUAGCGGUGAAAUGCGUAGAUAUUAGGAGGAACACCAGUGGCGAAGGCGGCUUACUGGACUGUAACUGACGUUGAGGCUCGAAGGCGUGGGGAGCAAACAGGAUUAGAUACCCUUGUAGUC